rnacentral:lncRNA from 1 species
AUAGAAAUAAACCAGACACAAAAGAGUUUAUAUUGUGGCAGGUCAAACGAACCUUUGAAAUAAAUAAAAAUAGAUAACUUUAGCAAUAGCGAUUGACUGGAAAAAAAAAAACGUAAGAAGUUUCUGGAGAGGGAAUAUUCUAUAUCAUGAUAGGGUUACAAAUUAUAUGGAUGGAUGCCUUUGUCAGAAGUGAUCAGAGUUUGUCUCUAAUAUCUCUUAAUUUCAUUAUAUGUAAAUGAUACUUCAUUGUUGUUAAAAAGAUGAUGAUGAUGAUAAAAAUACUCAAUAUAAUCUGCCAAGUAUAGUGUGACUGUAUCAUAGUAAUCAAUCACUGAUAGCCUUGGAAGUCAGGGCUUGGCUGUGAUCUCACUUUGCCUAUUAAUGAGGGUAGCAAAUAUUACCUUUGGGCUUAUCCUUCCUUCCUUCACUUCACAGAUAUUUUUGAGUGAGUUCAUGUGCUGAUACAUCAGUGUUGAACAGGAUAUAAUCCUUGCCUUCAAGGAGCUGAUAAUGGAGCUAUUGUUGGCAUUUCUUAAUUUGCCUCGUCAUCUGUAGAAGGAAAGUGUGAUGCUGGAUCUAAUUGCUGUAGACAUCUGAGUGCACAGCUUCAGUAACUGCAUGAGGAAGGCAGGCUGCCUGAAGUCUUCAAUUAAGAAGUUAAUAAAAAGCAAGAGAAAAUUCAGAGCCAGAUAUAUUACAGCAGCAGAGAAAAAGCAAACAUCUGGUACAUAA